CCGGCACGGGUGGAGUAACACGUAUCCAACCUGCCGUCUACUCUUGGACAGCCUUCUGAAGGAAGAUUAAUACAAGAUGGCAUCAUGAGUUCACAUGUUCACAUGAUUAAAGGUAUUCCGGUAGACGAUGGGGAUGCGUUCCAUUAGAUAGUAGGCGGGGUAACGGCCCACCUAGUCUUCGAUGGAUAGGGGUUCUGAGAGGAAGGUCCCCCACAUUGGAACUGAGACACGGUCCAA
rnacentral:rRNA from 1 species